UUAGCGGCGGACGGGUGAGUAACACGUGGGUAACCUGCCUGUAAGACUGGGAUAACUCCGGGAAACCGGGGCUAAUACCGGAUGCUUGUUUGAACCGCAUGGUUCAAACAUAAAAGGUGGCUUCGGCUACCACUUACAGAUGGACCCGCGGCGCAUUAGCUAGUUGGUGAGGUAAUGGCUCACCAAGGCAACGAUGCGUAGCCGACCUGAGAGGGUGAUCGGCCACACUGGGACUGAGACACGGCCCAGACUCCUACGGGAGGCAGCAGUAGGGAAUCUUCCGCAAUGGACGAAAGUCUGACGGAGCAACGCCGCGUGAGUGAUGAAGGUUUUCGGAUCGUAAAGCUCUGUUGUUAGGGAAGAACAAGUGCCGUUCAAAUAGGGCGGCACCUUGACGGUACCUAACCAGAAAGCCACGGCUAACUACGUGCCAGCAGCCGCGGUAAUACGUAGGUGGCAAGCGUUGUCCGGAAUUAUUGGGCGUAAAGGGCUCGCAGGCGGUUUCUUAAGUCUGAUGUGAAAGCCCCCGGCUCAACCGGGGAGGGUCAUUGGAAACUGGGGAACUUGAGUGCAGAAGAGGAGAGUGGAAUUCCACGUGUAGCGGUGAAAUGCGUAGAGAUGUGGAGGAACACCAGUGGCGAAGGCGACUCUCUGGUCUGUAACUGACGCUGAGGAGCGAAAGCGUGGGGAGCGAACAGGAUUAGAUACCCUGGUAGUCCACGCCGUAAACGAUGAGUGCUAAUGUUAAGGGGGUUUCCGCCCCUU
rnacentral:rRNA from 1 species